GUGUGACUGCGUACCUUUUGUAUAAUGGGUCAGCGACUUAUAUUCUGUAGCAAGGUUAACCGAAUAGGGGAGCCGAAGGGAAACCGAGUCUUAACUGGGCGUUAAGUUGCAGGGUAUAGACCCGAAACCCGGUGAUCUAGCCAUGGGCAGGUUGAAGGUUGGGUAACACUAACUGGAGGACCGAACCGACUAAUGUUGAAAAAUUAGCGGAUGACUUGUGGCUGGGGGUGAAAGGCCAAUCAAACCGGGAGAUAGCUGGUUCUCCCCGAAAGCUAUUUAGGUAGCGCCUCGUGAAUUCAUCUCCGGGGGUAGAGCACUGUUUCGGCAAGGGGGUCAUCCCGACUUACCAACCCGAUGCAAACUGCGAAUACCGGAGAAUGUUAUCACGGGAGACACACGGCGGGUGCUAACGUCCGUCGUGAAGAGGGAAACAACCCAGACCGCCAGCUAAGGUCCCAAAGUCAUGGUUAAGUGGGAAACGAUGUGGGAAGGCCCAGACAGCCAGGAUGUUGGCUUAGAAGCAGCCAUCAUUUAAAGAAAGCGUAAUAGCUCACUGGUCGAGUCGGCCUGCGCGGAAGAUGUAACGGGGCUAAACCAUGCACCGAAGCUGCGGCAGCGACGCUUAUGCGUUGUUGGGUAGGGGAGCGUUCUGUAAGCCUGUGAAGGUGUACUGUGAGGUAUGCUGGAGGUAUCAGAAGUGCGAAUGCUGACAUAAGUAACGAUAAAGCGGGUGAAAAGCCCGCUCGCCGGAAGACCAAGGGUUCCUGUCCAACGUUAAUCGGGGCAGGGUGAGUCGACCCCUAAGGCGAGGCCGAAAGGCGUAGUCGAUGGGAAACAGGUUAAUAUUCCUGUACUUGGUGUUACUGCGAAGGGGGGACGGAGAAGGCUAUGUUGGCCGGGCGACGGUUGUCCCGGUUUAAGCGUGUAGGCUGGUUUUCCAGGCAAAUCCGGAAAAUCAAGGCUGAGGCGUGAUGACGAGGCACUACGGUGCUGAAGCAACAAAUGCCCUGCUUCCAGGAAAAGCCUCUAAGCAUCAGGUAACAUCAAAUCGUACCCCAAACCGACACAGGUGGUCAGGUAGAGAAUACCAAGGCGCUUGAGAGAACUCGGGUGAAGGAACUAGGCAAAAUGGUGCCGUAACUUCGGGAGAAGGCACGCUGAUAUGUAGGUGAAGUCCCUCGCGGAUGGAGCUGAAAUCAGUCGAAGAUACCAGCUGGCUGCAACUGUUUAUUAAAAACACAGCACUGUGCAAACACGAAAGUGGACGUAUACGGUGUGACGCCUGCCCGGUGCCGGAAGGUUAAUUGAUGGGGUUAGCGCAAGCGAAGCUCUUGAUCGAAGCCCCGGUAAACGGCGGCCGUAACUAUAACGGUCCUAAGGUAGCGAAAUUCCUUGUCGGGUAAGUUCCGACCUGCACGAAUGGCGUAAUGAUGGCCAGGCUGUCUCCACCCGAGACUCAGUGAAAUUGAACUCGCUGUGAAGAUGCAGUGUACCCGCGGCAAGACGGAAAGACCCCGUGAACCUUUACUAUAGCUUGACACUGAACAUUGAGCCUUGAUGUGUAGGAUAGGUGGGAGGCUUUGAAGUGUGGACGCCAGUCUGCAUGGAGCCGACCUUGAAAUACCACCCUUUAAUGUUUGAUGUUCUAACGUUGACCCGUAAUCCGGGUUGCGGACAGUGUCUGGUGGGUAGUUUGACUGGGGCGGUCUCCUCCUAAAGAGUAACGGAGGAGCACGAAGGUUGGCUAAUCCUGGUCGGACAUCAGGAGGUUAGUGCAAUGGCAUAAGCCAGCUUGACUGCGAGCGUGACGGCGCGAGCAGGUGCGAAAGCAGGUCAUAGUGAUCCGGUGGUUCUGAAUGGAAGGGCCAUCGCUCAACGGAUAAAAGGUACUCCGGGGAUAACAGGCUGAUACCGCCCAAGAGUUCAUAUCGACGGCGGUGUUUGGCACCUCGAUGUCGGCUCAUCACAUCCUGGGGCUGAAGUAGGUCCCAAGGGUAUGGCUGUUCGCCAUUUAAAGUGGUACGCGAGCUGGGUUUAGAACGUCGUGAGACAGUUCGGUCCCUAUCUGCCGUGGGCGCUGGAGAA
rnacentral:rRNA from 1 species